rnacentral:rRNA from 1 species
UACGAAGGGGGCUAGCGUUGCUCGGAAUCACUGGGCGUAAAGCGCACGUAGGCGGAUUGUUAAGUCAGGGGUGAAAUCCUGGAGCUCAACUCCAGAACUGCCUUUGAUACUGACGGUCUUGAGUUCGGGAGAGGUGAGUGGAACUGCGAGUGUAGAGGUGAAAUUCGUAGAUAUUCGCAAGAACACCAGUGGCGAAGGCGGCUUACUGGUCCGGUUCUGACGCUGAGGCGCGAAAGCGUGGGGAGCAAACAGG